CAUGCCGCCAUCAGCACCUAUAAAGAUUAAUUCGCCUGCGACUUCUUAUUUUAUUCAAUUUUUCCAAACUUCAUCCUCCAAGAAGCUCCAGCUCACAACUUGGGGAAGGAUCUGCAAGCCGCCUUGCUGACUGUACUGUCUUUGCCACAGGAAACCAACAAGGAAUGUCCGACUCAACCACCACCAUCCUCAUCCUCUUCCUGCUUGUCCUUGUCUUCUUCCUGGUCAUCCUGUACAAAAAACUCAACCACGACACAGACGGCGAAUACACGCUCCGGCGUAUUGUCUACAAGGAAGGAGGCUUCCGGGACUGGCUCAGAGGCACCGUGACGGUCCUGGAGUCCCGCCUGAGAGACCGACCGUGUUCUCACAGUGUCGAUCCCGACGAGGACGGUCAGGAAAUGCAGGAUUUUCAGGCGGUGCAAAGGCAGGAAGCGGAGAACGGGAGCGACGAUAUCCAACGAGACUGAGAGGACGAAGAAUCAGGAGAGAGUGUCGGAAAAACUGAGUCGUUCGUUAAUUUGAAUCACUUCUGCAGGUGCGUCAUCUGGUAUGGGGAGGACGCUAACCAGAUAGAUCAAUUAUAGCCUAUUUUCAUCAGAAAUACUGGAUUUUCUCAAAUAAAAUGUUUU